rnacentral:rRNA from 1 species
CUGAAACUACGCCUACAUGAAGCUGGAGUUGCUAGUAAUCGCGAAUCAGCAUGUCGCGGUGAAUACGUUCCCGGGCCUUGUACACACCGCCCGUCACACCAUGAGAGUUGGCAAUACCCAACGUACGUGAUCUAACCCGCAAGGGAGGAAGCGUCCUAAGGUAGGGUCAGCGAUUGGGGUGAAGUCGUAACAAGGUAGC